AUUGAACGCUGGCGGCAUGCUUUACACAUGCAAGUCGAACGGUAACAGGCCUUCGGGUGCUGACGAGUGGCGAACGGGUGAGUAAUGCAUCGGAACGUACCCAGAGGUGGGGGAUAACGCAGCGAAAGCUGUGCUAAUACCGCAUGUGAUCUGAGGAUGAAAGCGGGGGACCGAGCAGCAAUGUUUGGCCUCGCGCCUUUGGAGCGGCCGAUGUCGGAUUAGCUAGUUGGUGGGGUAAAGGCCUACCAAGGCGACGAUCCGUAGCUGGUCUGAGAGGACGACGAGCCACACUGGGACUGAGACACGGCCCAGACUCCUACGGGAGGCAGAGAUGGGGAAUUUUGGACAAUGUGCGCAAGCCUGAUCCAGCAAUGCCGCGUGCGGGAAGAAGGCCUUCGGGUUGUAAACCGCUUUUGGCAGGAACGAAACGGUGUCCGCUAAUACCGGGCGCUAAUGACGGUACCUGCAGAAUAAGCACCGGCUAACUACGUG
rnacentral:rRNA from 1 species